rnacentral:lncRNA from 1 species
AAAAAGUAAAUGACAGUUCCUAAAUUACGACUAGACAAUACAUUAAUGAAACUAAAGGUGACUUCCGGUUUCAAAAUGCCGGCAAAAAAGUCAAAAAUUUCAAUUUUAUACUUUCAAGCAACUUCACAAGGGAUGUAAAUCCUUGAAAGAUGUGUUAUAGGUAUAAUCCAAUGUAAGUUAUGAUAAAACGUUAAAAAAAGUUCCUAAGUACGACAAAACAACACAUAAAUGAAGAAAAAUAGUGACUUCCGGUUCCAAAAUGGCGGC